ACUGCAGCAAAAGAUGAUAUUUGCUAAAAACCAAAGAAACACGAACUCAAAAUUGCCGUGUGGGCGUCACGUCCUGUCCUUGUAUAUAUUCCCUCUCUCUCUCUUUCUCUCUCUCUCACCUUUGAAUCUAAUCACGACGAGUUAAAGAAUCCAACUGCCUCAGCCUGAUAGAUCAGAUCCAAUGUGAACGAUUUCGGAGCUGAUUUCUUUUUCCUCUUUAAUUUUGUGAACUGUUUGGGCGAUGCGUAGCUUCAAUUGACGGCAAUCGGAGCAACUUUUCAAGAAUUAAGAGAGAAACGGUGCCCAAAGUCCAGGAAUCUGUUGUGUGAAAGCUUAAAUUCUAGUUUUAUACUUUCAAAAGGAAAAUAGAAUAAACCAUCUCCAAGGAUCCAAGCAAACAACUAUAAGCUGCAAGGAAAUGGCAACACUAGUUGAGCCUCCCAAUGGGGUCAGGCCUAGAGGGAAGCAUUACUAUUCAAUGUGGCAAACAUUGUUUGAAAUUGACACAAAGUAUGUGCCAAUCAAACCCAUUGGUCGAGGAGCAUAUGGUGUUGUGUGUUCUUCUAUCAAUAGAGAAACAAAUGAGAAAGUUGCCAUAAAAAAAAUCAAUAAUGUAUUUGAGAAUCGAAUUGAUGCACUGAGAACUUUGAGGGAGUUGAAGCUCCUUAGACAUAUUCAGCAUGAAAACGUGAUUGCUUUAAAGGAUAUUAUGAUGCCGACUCAAAGGUUGAGUUUUAAGGAUGUUUAUUUAGUUUAUGAGCUCAUGGAUACAGACUUGCAUCAGAUUAUCAAAUCUGCACAACCACUGUCCAAUGACCAUUGCAAAUAUUUUCUCUUUCAGUUGCUACGAGGACUGAAGUACCUUCACUCAGCAAACAUCCUUCACCGUGACUUGAAGCCUGGGAACCUCCUUGUCAAUGCUAACUGUGACCUCAAGAUAUGUGAUUUUGGACUGGCACGAACCAGCAGAGGCAAUGAACAGUUCAUGACUGAAUAUGUUGUCACCCGUUGGUACCGUGCACCUGAGCUACUCCUUUGCUGUGACAACUAUGGAACAUCAAUUGACGUUUGGUCUGUAGGAUGCAUCUUUGCUGAAAUUCUUGGUAGGAAACCUAUUUUCCCUGGAACAGAGUGCCUUAACCAGCUAAAACUAAUAAUUAAUGUCCUUGGAAGCCAACUAGAAGCUGAUCUUGAAUUCAUUGAUAAUCCAAAAGCUAGGAGGUUCAUUAAAUCACUCCCCCACACCAAGGGUACACACUUCUCCCAACUUUAUCCCCAGGCUGAUCCUUUAGCCAUAGACUUGUUGCAAAGGAUGCUUAUUUUUGAACCAUCUAAGAGAAUUACGGUCACAGAAGCACUCCAACACCCUUACAUGUCAGGGCUUUAUGAUCCCCGUUGUAACCCACCUGCCCAAGUCCCAAUCAAUCUUGACAUUGAUGAGAAUGUCGGGGAACAAGUGAUUAGGGAGAUGAUGUGGAAUGAGAUGCUUCAUUACCAUCCUGAAGCUGCAUUUGUCAAUGCAUAGACUUGUCUUGAAGGUUAAGAAAAAUCUGAGAAAAAGAUUCUUCUGAGUCUGCUUUUGGAACUUGAAAAGGUAUGUUAAGGUGAAGAUAUCUCAACUUCUUCACGCAGUGGCAGAGCGGGAAGAUUAUCUUACAAGCUUUGAAGGAAAUGAAUGGAAACCAAGGGGCUGCAAAUGGGUAGAACCCACGAAUAUGAAAGAAUGUAUAUCAGACCUUUAUCCAUCUAGAAAAAAGGUUUCAUCCUAUUUUUCAUAAUCAACUGAAUCUGUGCGUUAUUAGGCGAACUCUCAAGAAAGCAACACCAAUCGGUCAACCUCAUAAAAGGGACAAGUAGUGUGGACACCAAACGCAAAGUCAAGUCUGAAAUUGUAAUUACUGUUAGUACACUCUAGUUUUUUUUUCUUAUCAC